AUUGAACGCUGGCGGCAGGCCUAACACAUGCAAGUCGAACGAGUGGCGGACGGGUGAGUAAUGUCUGGGAAACUGCCCGAUGGAGGGGGAUAACUACUGGAAACGGUAGCUAAUACCGCAUACCAUCGGAUGUGCCCAGAUGGGAUUAGCUAGUAGGUGGGGUAAUGGCUCACCUGGGCGACGACCCCUAACUGGUCUGAGAGGAUGAACGGCCACACUGGAACUGAGACACGGUCCAGACUCCAAGGGGAGGAAGCAGUGGGGAAUAUUGCACAAGGGGCGCAAGCCUGAUGAGGCAAGGCCGCGUGUAUGAAGAAGGCCUUCGGGUUGUAAAGUACUUUCAGCGAGGAGGCGUUACUCGCAGAAGAAGCACCGGCUAACUCCGUGCCAGCAGCCGCGGUAAUUC
rnacentral:rRNA from 1 species